rnacentral:rRNA from 1 species
GGGGGGGGGCGGCCUACCAUGCAAGUCGAGCGGCAGCGGAAAGUAGCUUGCUACUUUGCCGGCGAGCGGCGGACGGGUGAGUAAUGUCUGGGAAACUGCCUGAUGGAGGGGGAUAACUACUGGAAACGGUAGCUAAUACCGCAUAACGUCGCAAGACCAAAGAGGGGGACCUUCGGGCCUCUUGCCAUCAGAUGUGCCCAGAUGGGAUUAGCUAGUAGGUGGGGUAACGGCUCACCUAGGCGACGAUCCCUAGCUGGUCUGAGAGGAUGACCAGCCACACUGGAACUGAGACACGGUCCAGACUCCUACGGGAGGCAGCAGUGGGGAAUAUUGCACAAUGGGCGCAAGCCUGAUGCAGCCAUGCCGCGUGUAUGAAGAAGGCCUUCGGGUUGUAAAGUACUUUCAGCGGGGAGGAAGGCGAUGAGGUUAAUAACCUUGUCGAUUGACGUUACCCGCAGAAGAAGCACCGGCUAACUCCGUGCCAGCAGCCGCGGUAAUACGGAGGGUGCAAGCGUUAAUCGGAAUUACUGGGCGUAAAGCGCACGCAGGCGGUCUGUCAAGUCGGAUGUGAAAUCCCCGGGCUCAACCUGGGAACUGCAUUCGAAACUGGCAGGCUAGAGUCUUGUAGAGGGGGGUAGAAUUCCAGGUGUAGCGGUGAAAUGCGUAGAGAUCUGGAGGAAUACCGGUGGCGAAGGCGGCCCCCUGGACAAAGACUGACGCUCAGGUGCGAAAGCGUGGGGAGCACACAGGAUUAUAUACCCUGGUAGUCCACGCCGUAAACGAUGUCGACUUGGAGGUUGUGCCCUUGAGGCGUGGCUUCCGGAGCUAACGCGUUAACUCGACCGCCUGGGGAGUACGGCCGCGAGGAUAGAACUCAUAUGAAUUGACGGGGGCCCGCACAACCGGUGGAGCAUGUGGUGUAAUUCUAUGCAACGCGGAGGAGCAUACCUACUCUUGACGUCCGCAGAAGUAACAUAAAUGCAAUGGUGUCUUCGG